CCCUUAGAUGUUCUGGGCCGCACACGCGCUACACUGAAGGAGACAGCGUGUACUCCUGGAUCGAAAGAUUUGGGUAACCCGCGAAUCUCCUUCGUGCUAGGGAUUGAGGUUUGCAAUUAUCCUUCAUGAACGAGGAAUUCCCAGUAAGUGCAAGUCAUAAGCUUGCGCUGACUACGUCCCUGCCCUUUGUACACACCGCCCGUCGCUACUACCGAUUGAAUGAUUUAGUGAGGACUUCGGACUGGGACCGAUGCGGCUUUCGGGCUGCGUCGGUAUUCUGGAAAGAUGUCCAAACUGUAUCAUUUAGAGGAAGUAAAAGUCGUANCA
rnacentral:rRNA from 1 species